rnacentral:rRNA from 1 species
GAUGAACGCUGGCGGCGUGCCUAAUACAUGCAAGUCGAACGAGACCUUCGGGUCUAGUGGCGGACGGGUGAGUAACACGUUGGUACCUGCCCCGAAGUGGGGAAUAACUGCCCGAAAGGGUGGCUAAUACCGCAUAAUACCGCAAGGUUAAAGCAGUAAUGCGCUUCGGGAGGGGCCUGCGUCCCAUUAGCUAGUUGGUAGGGUAACUGCCUACCAAGGCGACGAUGGGUAGCUGGAUCGAGAGGUUGACCAGCCACAUGUGAACUGAGA